rnacentral:rRNA from 1 species
GACGAACGCUGGCGGCGUGCUUAACACAUGCAAGUCGAACGGAAAGGCCCUGCUUGCAGGGUACUCGAGUGGCGAACGGGUGAGUAACACGUGGGUGAUCUGCCCUGCACUUCGGGAUAAGCUUGGGAAACUGGGUCUAAUACCGGAUAGGACCGCACUUUAGUGUGUGUGGUGGAAAGUUUUUUCGGUGUAGGAUGAGCUCGCGGCCUAUCAGCUUGUUGGUGGGGUAAUGGCCUACCAAGGCGGCGACGGGUAGCCGGCCUGAGAGGGUGUACGGCCACAUUGGGACUGAGAUACGGCCCAGACUCCUACGGGAGGCAGCAGUGGGGAAUAUUGCACAAUGGGCGCAAGCCUGAUGCAGCGACGCCGCGUGGGGGAUGAAGGCCUUCGGGUUGUAAACGCCUUUCGCUAGGGACGAAGCUUUUUGUGACGGUACCUAGAGAAGAAGCACCGGCUAACUACGUG